UUAUGUUGAGUGCCAAAUAAUAUAUACAGCGCCUUUACAAAAACGAAACUACUUUUUAUUAGCUGGUGAUAAUAUUUUAUCACAGCGAUCGAUUCAUUCGAUGAAGAUGGGAAUAACAAAAUACUGGACAAAAACCAAAUUAAAAUGAAUUGAUAUUACUAUAACAAAUUGUCCCCCCCCCCCCCCUUCCUUUCAGGUAUCAUUACUUUUGGUCUAUUAUUUAUUAAGAUUGAUUUUUAUUUAUUUUUUUCAAUAUGAAUUUUCACACACAUAAUAAUAAAAAAAAAUAGUUUUUUUGUUAAAUCACAAGGAAGAAAAAUAAAGUAAGCUGGUGUAUCACUCCCAUCCCUGGUCCUCACAAAUCCAUUUAUAGAAACUACAAAAAAAAAAAAAAAGUGAUGCCAUACGCCAUAUGCAGAGUAAUAAUUUAUAAUGCUUAAUAGACAGAAGGCCACAAAGGCGCUAGAUUAGUACAUAAUUAUGAUAAUAAUAAUAAUUAUUAUUAUUAUUAUUAUUAUAAGUCUGUGUCGUCUUAAAAGACGAACGAAGGUUAAAAGCGAUAAUAUGAUUGGUCGGUUCCUGAACAGUCAUACCUGGGAUUUGAUUGGCUUAGAGAUAACAACAGGAAAAAACGCGCCAUUUGCAGUUUGCCAAUAAUAAUAAAUAAUGACAAAACAGUGUGUAUUUUGCACUAUGAAUUGGAUUUAAGAUCAUUUUGAUUGAGCAGAAACAAUCACAGUUUAUUACCGAAUACUUGGCUAUGGCGGAAAAUGAAGAACUUCGGUCAAGUUUCGGAUGUCCUACUAUUUUCGUCACGUUUGGAAGGGAAAAAAGAAAAAUCGUCAGCACAUUCUGGUCAUCAUAUUAUGGAAAUAUUUGUGACUGAAUCCCAUCUGAAUGUUGGAUGACAUAUAUCAAGAUGCCACUGAACAGGACAUAACUGAGGAAAAUGGAUGUGAGAUAAUCCAAUCUAACAGUUGGAAAUAAAUAUAUAUAGUAUUUAUAAAAUAUUUGUUUGCAUAUACUGUUCAGAUAUAUUAGUGAGUCAGAAUGAAACAUCACUUUGUUUGUUAAGACUAUUGUGCUUCAAUUUUUAUGUUUUGUGGACAGCUACAUGUAGUUUACAGAUAGGGUGUGUAAGCAGUGGCAUUAAUACAGCAAUUGCCCGAGAAUAUUGAAAUUUGGCCUCCAAGGACAGAUUGCUGCCUAUUUUCAUUUGUUUAAUGAUUAGUUCAUCACCAACUGCUGGAUGUAAAAAAUUAAAUUGAUAAUUAAUUCUGACCCAUAGUCUU